CUUGACCUCGGAUCAGGUAGGGAUACCCGCUGAACUUAAG
rnacentral:rRNA from 1 species